ACUCAUCAACCCUGUGAACAUACCUAAACGUUGCUUCGGCGGGAACAGACGGCCCCGUGAAACGGGCCGCCCCCGCCAGAGGACCCCUAACUCUGUUUCUAUAAUGUUUCUUCUGAGUAAAACAAGCAAAUAAAUUAAAACUUUCAACAACGGAUCUCUUGGCUCUGGCAUCGAUGAAGAACGCAGCGAAAUGCGAUAAGUAAUGUGAAUUGCAGAAUUCAGUGAAUCAUCGAAUCUUUGAACGCACAUUGCGCCCGCCAGUAUUCUGGCGGGCAUGCCUGUUCGAGCGUCAUUACAACCCUCAGGCCCCCGGGCCUGGCGUUGGGGAUCGGCGGAGCCCCCCGUGGGCACACGCCGUCCCCCAAAUACAGUGGCGGUCCCGCCGCAGCUUCCAUCGCGUAGUAGCUAACACCUCGCGACUGGAGAGCGGCGCGGCCACGCCGUAAAACACCCAACUCUUCUGAAGUUGACCUCGAAUCAGGUAGGAAUACCCGCUGAACUUAAGCAUAUCAAUAAGCGGAGGA
rnacentral:sRNA from 1 species